CAGGAGAAAAGGAGAUUGGACAGCUUUGAAGAACUACGGACCACUGGAUAAAAGAAUGUGCUCAAGAAUCUUCAAAGAAAAUGAGUGGUAGACUAAACUGGCUGAACUUGCUGAAGGGUUCUUGAGGUUCAGACUUCAGAGAUUUGUAUACACCUUGUCUUGAGAGCUGGUUGUGGGUUCUUCCUUCUUGGAAACCCUUUGGACCGCUGGAAAAAGGUUGUACCAGACUCAGAUGAAGAUGAACUAAGAAUGAAUUUGCAGAAGCUUUUGUGAGGUUCAAGAGCUUAAAGCUCUGAUACGUACCAUGAAAUAAAAGACAGAGAAUGGUGUUUGAGUGUAUGUGAGAGUCUGGUUGAGAGUGAACAAGAGAAAGACUGAGAAAUAGAGAUAAGAGAAUUGAUGAAGGAGAGAGUUAAUUUUCACUUCAGAGAGUAUGAGAGAUUAUGGAGAGUUUAAGAGAGAUUGAAAGUGACCAAGAGAAUACAGAAUGGUGAAGAAGAAAGGGGAACUUGUAACGACCCGCUCCCGGAGUAUUUUUAAUUUUGAAGAAAAUAGAAUGCAGGAGGUUUUAUUCUAUAAGGAUCGUAUUUUUCUAAGUGUGGAGACACUUGUAUUCGUGAAUAUUGGAAGAAUAAAUGUAUUUUUAACUAAGUGAUGGAUCUUCAGUGAUAUCAUUGAAAUAUUCAGAAUGGGUUGAGCGACGGUAAACCGAUAAUGGAAUGAUCAGAGCAUACAUACGGAGAAAUUAAGACCGCGAGACCAAUUAAAGAAUGUUCGGUUGUUGGAUAAUGUGGGUUCCAGGUAAGGAAAGUUUGACUAGCCAUAAUUGCGGGAUAAUACAAAAGGAAUUUCGGAUCUGCGGAAAUCAGCUAAGGAAAGAAUCAAAGAUAUCAAAUCAAGCCAUUGAUGGUGGUGGUCUUUGACCAAGCCAAAUAAGGAAACUGGCAUUAAGUGUCUGACUUGGUGAGAAAUCUUGGGAAAUUCUAUAUAAGGACCCCUUUAGCUCUCAUUUUUUCACACAAUUCAGAAAACAAGAUUAGAGAGAAGUUAGAGAGCAGAAACUAGUUGGUAAAGAGAGAAGUCCGAAGAAGAGGGAUUCAGCAAGGAGGAGCUAAGGAGUUCAUCGCUUGAAAACGCUAGGUAGUUCAAAGUCUUCGAAUCUUUGAGAUUAAGUUAAGGUGAGGAUGUGAUUCGUGGCAGUCCAAUAAUAAUUGUUUGUCUGGUUUGAUUAGUAUGAUCGUGUUUAUGCUUGGAUAGAAUUCGUUUAUGGAAAAUUUGUUCAUCGUGUUCAUAAGAAAAUGUAUGAUAGAAUUUGUUUAAGGAAAGUUUGUUCAUUGUGUUCUUAAGAAAUGCAUUCUAGAAUUGAUGAAUUGAUAAUAAAAUUAUGCUAGGAUGUUUAUGUGAGAAAUGAAUGUUUGAUCUUGAGAAUCUAAGUCAUAAAAAUAUAAUGCAUUUAAAGAAAGUAUAAUCGAAUUGAGUUAAUUAAGGGAACUGGUUAAGAGGAUGUAAGGGACCUUCGGGUCGAAGGUUUGGCUAUGAGCCGUAAAGUACUGAUGGGUCGAAGGAUUGGCUACGGCCGCAGGUAUGGCUUCGACCGCAGGUUUGGCUACGGCCGCAGGUAUGGCUUCGGCCACAGGUUUGGCUUCGGCCGCAGGUUUGGCUUCGGCCGCAGGUUUGGCUACGGCUGCAGGUAUGGCUUCGGCCGCAGGUAUGGCUUCGGCCAUAGGUUUGGCUACGGCCGCAGGUUUGGCUUCGGCCGCAGGUUUGGCUUCGGCCGCAGGUUUGGCUUCGACUGCAUGUUUAGUUUCGGCUGCAGGUUUGGCUUCGGCCACAGGUUUGUCUUCGGCCGCAGGUUUGGCUUCGGUGCAGGUUUGGCGACGCCCGCAGGUUUGGCAUCGGCCGCAUGAUUAUGGACCUUCGGGUCGAACGGUUAAGGAAUGUAAAUGUAAUGAAAAUGAUGGAACUAGUUAAGUAAAAGAAUGAUAGAACUGGAUGCUAUGGUGUUAGUAUUGAUUCAGUGCUUGAUUAUUGGACUGUGGUGGGCGGUAUUGAGCGUCUUCACUGAGUAAUUUUGUAUACUCAUGCCUCCUUUGCGAUGCAGGUAAGGUUGAUUGUGUGGACCGAAGUGCGAGACUAUAAAGACCAUCGAAGCUAGGGUGUAUGAACUUGGGUAAUGUUGAGAAGUUUUGCAAAAGAUAUUUUUAUUGUAAAAUACAUGAUUUUAAGUAUUUAGUCUUGUGUUUUAAUUUAUAAAGUUGAAUUAUUUUUCAUGUUCAUCCGAUAAAAUUUGACUUGAUCUUUUACUUAGAGGUGUUUAUGGGUUGAGGUGUUUCAGAACUUCCAACUUUCAGCUUAGAUUGCAAUUGAUUACAAUGGUGGCUUUAUAUAGCCAAAGCAAUCAACAAUCCUAGACAAUUAAACUAGUAAUAUUGUGGAGAAACAUAAACAAAUAAUAAACUAGAGGCAAGUGGUUUGAUGUGACAGAUUUAAGCUCCAAGAGUUUAAAAUUCAAAUACACUCAAUUGGCUCCAACAAACGUGUGGAUGGAUGGAUUGUUGUGAAUGGGUCGACUGUGGAUGAGUUGGCUUGCAGAUGAAUGGCUGUAGAUGGGUUUGUUUGGAUAGUUCAACUGUUUUCUUCUGAUGCCUAUUAUGGAUAAGUUACCUGCUCUUCUCCGGGAAGAGUUGGAGAAUGCAUUUGAAGAUGAUCUCGAUAGCAUUUUCGACAUCACGAACUCCGGCAAUCACUUGAUCAAAAGAAACGGAGAACUGAAACUGAACUGAGAACGGAUCAAAGAAAAAUUCAAAGUGAUGAAUGAGAAGCUGAACUCUCGCGAGUUUGCUCAGAAUCUAAACCCGCCUUCGUUGCAGUAGUGACUCAGGUCAUCACGAUAUCUCUCUUUUCAAUAUAUGUAUUUUGUUACUUGUAGGUUAAGAAACAAUCUAAGAGUGUAUUUCAUGAGGGAACAUCUGCCUUUCAACUUUGGAUGUCCCAAAGAAAAAAACAAAAGUAUCUUUACAGUUUGA